CCUACGGGAGGCAGCAAUGGGGGAUAUUGCACAAUGGGGGGAACCCUGAUGCAGCGACGCCGCGUGGGUGAAGGAGUAUUUCGGUAUGUAAAGCCCUAUCGGCAGGGAAGAAAGUGGACGGUACCUGACUAAGAAGCCCCGGCUAACUACGUGCAAGCAGCCGCGGUAAUACUGAGGGGGCAAGCGUUAUCCGGAUCCACUGGGUGUAACGGGAGCGUAGACGGCCAGGCAAGCCUGGAGUGAAAGCCCGGGCCCCCACCCCGGGACUGCUCUGGGAACUGUCCGGCUGGAGUGCGGGAGGGGCAGGCGGAAUUCCUGGUGUAGCGGUGCACUUCGUCGAUAUCAGGAGGAACACCGGCGGCGACGGCGGCCUGCUGGACCGCGACUGACGUUGAGGCUCGAAAGCGUGGGGAGCGAACAGGAUUAGAUACCCUGGUAGUC
rnacentral:rRNA from 1 species